CAAAGGAAUUCCUGUGAGCAGGAAGUUUCAGUUUUCAACCUUCUAGGAAAAAGGGGAGAACCCAAUCCUGCUGAAGGGGAAAAUGAGUGUCCAGCCUUGAAAUUGGUAGCAGCUGAGAAUUUAAAAGCUAGUGUUUGUGUUGAUGCAAAUUACCUGACUGACUGGGGGGAAGAAAGAUUUGCUAAUAGCUGUUAGCAAAGAGAGCACAGCCAAUCAGCCAGUGAAUUCUGUUAAGCAAGAAGGAUCAAGGUUUGAUCCUUCAGGACAAGGAAGGGAAAAAUAACUUGAUUUUGCAAAGGGAAGACACAGGGUAACCCUAAAAUGCCCAAAACCCAAUUUUUAUUAAGCCAAAGGUGUGGCAUGACAAAAAUGAUUGUAAAUGGACACUUGCAAUGAAUUUGUUAUUGCUAAUGGUAAUUUUUGUAACUAAUGUGUUGCUAUUACCAAGAAGUGUAAAAACGUACAAUGUGCCUAAUCUUUUGAAAAAACCCUUGAACAUGUUAAAAGGAAUACACUUUAUGUUAAAAGGCCUUAUUAUACUGAAGUUUCACAGUUAAUACCUGUAAACAGCAUUGGAACUUUUCACAGGGGAAAAGACAUUCCAGACCUGAUAUACUGUAUGAAAAGGGAUACUAAGGCACACUACCAUAUUGCUUUCACAGCUAAAUGCCAAGAUUCCUAUACUGUGAAUAACAUUAAUAUCUACAUUGUCUUGAUAUUAAAUGGGUUCCAAACAUUUGCCAGAGCUUGUAUGAAUAAAGUAGCUAUGUACUUUAGCUCUUGUCAAAAUCAUACAAAACAUACAGGAACCAUGCUGCAAGAGCAGAUCCAAUCCACUAUUGUUCUAACCAAGUUUUGCCUUGAGUUUGUAAAGAAAUUCAGUGAUGUUAUUGAACAGAACUUGAAUAAACCAUUUCUGUUAUACACGAAUACUAGCUGUAGUAAGACAGAACCAAGGAUGGAGAACUCUCAGGAUGCAGUCAGUGAUGUUUGCGUCAUCCCUUCCUGCAUCAAUUGUGCAUUCGGGGUGUGACGUUAUUGACAUAAACUGACUGUACAGAUCAUUGUUGCAACCCCUGCUGCUCUGCCCUGGGAACAGACCCCUGCAGGUGGGGGCCCUGCUGUUCACCCUUCCCAUCUGCCCCAACAGUGCCCUCUGCAGGCCUGAGCCCUGACCUUGGGGGCGAGAAGGGCCAAGGGCCAGAGCCAGAGCAGCAGGCAGAGGCAGCUCAAGAUAAAGCUGCCUCCCUAGACAGCACCGCCAUGGGCUGCCUCUGCGCCACUCAGAUUUGGCCCAGCUGGGCAGAUCUGCCACCCUAGGCGCUGCAUGGCAUUCCCAGCGCUAGGGGCUGCUAGCUGUAGGGCUCAGCACUGGAGUGUUGGCUGGGGGCAGCCCCAUCGUGCCAGCUUGGAGAGUCAUGGCUGCAGGAGAGUCUGAGAAACAACAGACCGCGUGGCACUUGCCGCUUCGCUGCAGGCUCCUCCCCAGCAUGGCCUGGCUCUGAAGGUGGGGCACCACCUGUGCUGCAGUGGCUGCGAGUGGACCUGGCACUCAGGGUGGGGGGACAGUACCUGCCCCCUUCCUGUGGCCCCAGCUGAGGGCUCCAGAACAUGAAGAUCUGGUCGCUGGCACAGGAUUGGGUUGGGCUCCGGGGGAGGGGGAGGAGAAUCCAAUCUCUUUCACAGCACUGGGUAGGGGCCCAGUGUGGGCGUGACUGGUAGCAUCCUUGGGCCCUGUCCAGCCAGCCCAUUUUCUGCACUGAACAGCUGGCUUCAAACCCUUCAAUCCUUCAGUUACUGCAGGACAGUUCUCUCUCCCUCACACCCCUAGCAGGCCAAUGGAGGGGGGGGCCCUCUGGGACAGGGCAGGGGGCCAGCACCCCCCACACUGUGCCAGGGAGGAGACUGUGCUGAGGAGUGACCCUGCUGGGGCAGGGAUUGCAGGGCAGAGCAUGUGGCCUCACUGUCCACCCCCCUGUGCCUGUGGGAAUAGUAACACCCCACAGCCAGCACGGCCUCACACUUCUGGAGAUAGGGCCCCUCCCUCCUGCCCCACAGGCCAAUGCAAACCCAGAGCAGGCCGGGGCUACCCAACGGGCUGGGUGCCAGCAGCAGGAGGGCAAUGCGUCAUUGCUACAACAUCACGCGGCUGCCAGGUGUGCAGGUAGAGUCUGGGCCGGCCUGUUCCCUCUCUAGGGCCUGAGCCCUGCCCCCUGCGAAGCCAGCCCCAGCCCAGCAUUGUGGAAAGGUGAGUCCCGUGUAAUGGCUGGUGAGGAGUUGAGCAAGGGGUUGUCCCUGCCUGGCACUCCCUAGGGAUGUUACCCCUGCUGGCUUGCCCCUGGCUCCAGGGGAAGAUUGGGGGCGGGGAACCUGGAGCUCUGGGACAGUUCCCCUGCCGCAGCCCCUCUCUGGGCACCAUGGGGAUACCGCUGGCAUUUGAGGGACAUGCCCUAGAAAGGGGAGGUUGUGUGUGGUCCAACAGUGCCCUGGCACCCAGCUUUGCUCAGCACUGUGUUGCCACAACUUCUGCCCUCACACUGCCACCUCGGUGCCAUUGCUACAAUCUCAAGGAAAGCCCCGGGGCCAGGCCAGGCUGGACAAACUGGACAUGGACACUGAAUUCCCCUCUGCUCCGGAGAGUGCCCACCAGGGCAGAGCUGGGGCAGGGGAUGAGACAGUGGAAGGGAUGCCCAGUCUCUGAGCUGGCAGGGCCAGGAACCCAGCUGGGUGCAGGUGGGCAGCUCCUGCAAGCAUUGUGAGAGGUCAUGUCCUGUGCCCCAGGGCCCUGCCCCACACAUGCCUGGCUCCUAGUGUGGGCAGAGAGCUUUCCAGCACCAGGGCGUGCCCUGCUGGUGCCAGCCCCUAUGGCUGCACCCCUUGCCACUGGGCCCUCCCCUCAGCCCAGACAGCACCAGUAGUCGUGUAGGGCACCGGGCCUAGAACCAGGAUAAACAAUUCCC